rnacentral:rRNA from 1 species
UACGAAGGGGGCUAGCGUUGCUCGGAAUUACUGGGCGUAAAGCGCACGUAGGCGGCUUCUUAAGUCAGGGGUGAAAUCCUGGAGCUCAACUCCAGAACUGCCUUUGAUACUGGGGAUCUCGAGUCCGGGAGAGGUGAGUGGAACUGCGAGUGUAGAGGUGAAAUUCGUAGAUAUUCGCAAGAACACCAGUGGCGAAGGCGGCUCACUGGCCCGGUACUGACGCUGAGGUGCGAAAGCGUGGGGAGCAAACAGG